AACUGGUGUCUGAUUUAUCUUGUUAGUUAGUUGUCAUUGGUUCAUCCUAGGGACUAGUUCCAAAUUGUUCUUUAAUUUACAAAUGAAAACAAUAUGUGCUCUAAAGUCUUCUUAAAAUAUCAAACCUGUGAAAUCCAUCGACUGGAUGCCAUCAUAGUCUGUAUUCCAGUCUAAACUCAUAAUUUGGAAAAAAAAAAAAUUAUCUGUUGCUCAUCUACUAUAACACUACUUUUACUUUAAAUCCCACAUGGUUUCCAACUGGCUACUGCUUUUGUUACUUGAAUGCAAACUGGAACUCAAUCUGAGGAGAAAGCUGGUUCAUUGGAGAGUGAAGUCUGUUAUCAUAUCACGGCUAAUCAAAUUGACUGAUCCUUUUGUUGCUGCACUAUUGAUUUGUUUUGUCUGCUGCAGGACUCCCUCCUUCAAAACAAGAGACGAAAGUGUCUGGUGGGUAAAGAUCAUUCCAAGGUCAGUGCAGAAAAACUUUCCGUUUACACUCAGCUCUUCACCCCACAACUGGAGAUUUAGCAGGAAGAGCACAGAGGAACCCCUACUGCAGCUGACUUGCAUCAUCCUGCAGGUGCAAUUGAUCAUGGAGGCAAUGUGGACCAGAAAUGUUGACGAGGGCUUGAAUGUACCUCAGAAGGAGAGGGGCGGUGGGAAGGCAGCCCCCAGGUGCAGGUACCAGAUAAACAGUAAGUGAAAAUCUAGUCUGACCAUGAAUACCUCUGGCUCCUUCCAAAAAACUGAAAGUGUCUGGCGUCUUAUAAAGUGUAGAGGACUUCAACUCCACAAAUUAAUACCAGUCAUUUGGAAAAGCCAAUAUGCCCACCUGCAAUUGCUCUUUAGAUGGCCUGGCCUUUGCCUUCGCUUCAGCUCAAUCAGACUCUGCCCUUUACCGCAUGCCCGCAUGACCGCCUUGCACCCACGCAGAGAAAGACACAACUAGCUGCUGAUGUUCAAGACAAGCAUAUUUUAGCAUGAACUGUUCAUUAGUGGUUUUUAAGAUAUGCAGUUGUUACAGUGUUUUACUGUUUGCUGACUCUAUGUAUGUUGAUUUUGUUAUUAAAGGUGCAGUAUUUAAUAUUGAUCUAGUGGUUGAAAUAGGUACAGAAGUCACCCACUUCACUUCAGAUUCAACACUCGCACGGGUUGCCAGAUUGAGGAUAUGCUACAGGAACGAGCCCA
ensembl:lncRNA